ACGAUAUCAGCCAACAGCCCUACAGGUAACACACACACACACACACACCAGUACGAUAUCAGCCAACAGCCCUACAGGUAACACACACACACCAGUACUAUAUCAGCCAACAGCCCUACAGGUAACACACACACACACACACACCAGUACUAUAUCAGCCAACAGCCCUACAGGUAACACACACACACACACCAGUACUAUAUCAGCCAACAGCCCUACAGGUAACACACACACACACACACACACCAGUACUAUAUCAGCCAACAGCCCUACAGGUAACACACACACACACCAGUACUAUAUCAGCCAACAGCCCUACAGGUAA
ensembl:lncRNA